rnacentral:rRNA from 1 species
AGAGUUUGAUCCUGGCUCAGGAUGAACGCUGGCGGCGUGCUUAACACAUGCAAGUCGAACGGUGAACACGGAGCUUGCUCUGUGGGAUCAGUGGCGAACGGGUGAGUAACACGUGAGCAACCUGCCCCUGACUCUGGGAUAAGCGCUGGAACCGGCGUCUAAUACUGGAUAUGUGACGUGACCGCAUGGUCUGCGUCUGGAAAGAAUUUCGGUUGGGGAUGGGCUCGCGGCCUAUCAGCUUGUUGGUGAGGUAAUGGCUCACCAAGGCGUCGACGGGUAGCCGGCCUGAGAGGGUGACCGGCCACACUGGGACUGAGACACGGCCCAGACUCCUACGGGAGGCAGCAGUGGGGAAUAUUGCACAAUGGGCGCAAGCCUGAUGCAGCAACGCCGCGUGAGGGACGACGGCCUUCGGGUUGUAAACCUCUUUUAGCAGGGAAGAAGCGAAAGUGACGGUACCUGCAGAAAAAGCGCCGGCUAACUACGUGCCAGCAGCCGCGGUAAUACGUAGGGCGCAAGCGUUAUCCGGAAUUAUUGGGCGUAAAGAGCUCGUAGGCGGUUUGUCGCGUCUGCUGUGAAAUCCGGAGGCUCAACCUCCGGCCUGCAGUGGGUACGGGCAGACUAGAGUGCGGUAGGGGAGAUUGGAAUUCCUGGUGUAGCGGUGGAAUGCGCAGAUAUCAGGAGGAACACCGAUGGCGAAGGCAGAUCUCUGGGCCGUAACUGACGCUGAGGAGCGAAAGGGUGGGGAGCAAACAGGCUUAGAUACCCUGGUAGUCC